CACGGGUGAGUAACACGUAUCCAACCUGCCGUCUACUCUUGGCCAGCCUUCUGAAGGAAGAUUAAUCCAGGAUGGCAUCAUGAGUUCACAUGUCCGCAUGAUUAAAGGUAUUUUCCGGUAGACGAUGGGGAUGCGUUCCAUUAGAUAGUAGGCGGGGUAACGGCCCACCAAGCACGAUGGAUAGGGGUUCUGAGAGGAAGGUCCCCCACAUUGGAACUGAGACACGGUCCAA
rnacentral:rRNA from 1 species